rnacentral:snRNA from 1 species
AGGCUCUAUUUCGUACCCACU